rnacentral:rRNA from 1 species
GAUGAACGCUGGCGGCGUGCCUAAUACAUGCAAGUCGAGCGAACGGACGAGAAGCUUGCGCCCCUACUGUUAGCGGCGGGCGGGUGAGUAACGCAUAGAUAACCAUCCUAUAUUACUGGGAUAAUUUCGGAAAACCGGAUAUACUAACGGCGCAUACUUUGUACCGGAUGGAUCAAAAGUGAAUGACAGUUUGCGCGUUACUAUUAGACGGUGUCGGGCUGCAUUAGCUAGUUGGUAAGGUAACGGCUUACCAAGGCAACGAUGCGUAGCCGACCUGAGAGGAUGAUCAGCCACACUGGAACUGAGACACGGUCCAGACUCCUACGGGAGGCAGCAGUAGGGAAUCUUGCGCAAUGGGCGCAAGCCUGACCCAGCAACGCCGCGUGAGUGAUGAAGGUCUUCGGGUCGUAAAACUCUGUUGUUAGGGAAGAACAUAUGUAUAAGUAUCCCUGCCUGUCUUGACGGUACCCAAACAGUAAGCACCGGCUAACUUCGUG